GAUGAAGAACGCAGUGAAAUGCGAUAAGUAAUGUGAAUUGCAGAAUUCAGUGAAUCAUCGAAUCUUUGAACGCACAUUGCGCCCGCCAGUAUUCUGGCGGGCAUGCCUGUUCGAGCGUCAUUUCAACCCUCAAGCCCAGCUUGGUGUUGGGGAUCGGCACAGGCGCCCUCGGGCGCCCGCCGUCCCCUAAAUCUAGUGGCGGUCCCGCUGCAGCCUCCUCUGCGUAGUAGUUUUCUCCUCGCAAGGGCAGCUCGGUGGCGACCUCGCCGUAAAACCCCCAACUUCUGAAAGGUUGACCUCGAAUCAGGUAGGAAUACCCGCUGAACUUAAGCAUAUCAAUAAGCGAGGA
rnacentral:misc_RNA from 1 species